rnacentral:rRNA from 1 species
UACGUAGGGGCCAAGCGUUUGUCCGGAUUUAUUGGGCGUAAAGAGCUCGUAGGCGGUUGGGUAAGUCGGGUGUGAAAACUCCAGGCUCAACUUGGAGAUGCCACCCGAUACUGCUCUGACUUGAGUUCGGUAGGGGAGUGGGGAAUUCCUGGUGUAGCGGUGAAAUGCGCAGAUAUCAGGAGGAACACCGGUGGCGAAGGCGGGUCUCUGGGCCGAUACUGACGCUGAGGAGCGAAAGCGUGGGGAGCGAACAGG